rnacentral:tRNA from 1 species
GCCGUCGGUGGCUCAGAUGGACAGAGCAUCUGCCAUGUAAGCAGAAGAUCCCGGGUUCGAGUCCCGGUCGGGGCA